rnacentral:rRNA from 1 species
GUGCCAGCAGCCGCGGUAAUACGGAGGGUGCAAGCGUUAAUCGGAAUUACUGGGCGUAAAGCGCGCGUAGGUGGUUAAGUCGGUCAGAUGUGAAAGCCCUGGGCUCAACCUGGGAACUGCAUUUGAUACUGCUUAACUAGAGUAUGGUAGAGGGAAGUGGAAUUCCGGGUGUAGCGGUGAAAUGCGUGGAGAUCCGGAGGAACAUCAGUGGCGAAGGCGGCUUCCUGGACCAAUACUGACACUGAGGUGCGAAAGCGCGGGUAGCAAACAGGAUUAGAUACCCUCGUAGUCC